rnacentral:rRNA from 1 species
AUACGUAGGUCCCGAACGUUGCGCGAAAUUACUGGGCGUAAAGGGUCCGUAGGCGGUCUGGUAAGUGGAAGGUGAAAGCCUGGGGCUCAACUCCAGAAUUGCCUUCCAAACUGCCGGACUUGAGGCAGGGAGAGGUCGGCGGAAUUCUCGGUGUAGCGGUGAAAUGCGUAGAUAUCGGGAGGAACACCAGUGGCGAAGGCGGCCGACUGGAACUGUCCUGACGCUGAGGGACGAAAGCCAGGGGAGCGAACCGGAUUAGAAACCCCAGUAGUCC